rnacentral:rRNA from 1 species
UACGAAGGGGACUAGCGUUGUUCGGAAUUACUGGGCGUAAAGCGCACGUAGGCGGAUUUGUAAGUCAGGGGUGAAAUCCCGGGGCUCAACCUCGGAACUGCCUUUGAUACUGCAAAUCUCGAGUCCGAUAGAGGUGGGUGGAAUUCCUAGUGUAGAGGUGAAAUUCGUAGAUAUUGGGAAGAACACCAGUGGCGAAGGCGGCUCACUGGUCCGAUACUGACGCUGAGGUGCGAAAGCGUGGGGAGCAAACAGG